rnacentral:rRNA from 1 species
CCUACGGGUGGCUGCAGUGGGGAAUAUUGGACAAUGGGGGGAACCCUGAUCCAGCCAUGCCGCGUGUGUGAAGAAGGCCCUCGGGUUGUAAAGCACUUUCAGUGAGGAAGAACGCCUGGUGGUUAAUACCCAUCAGGAAAGACAUCACUCACAGAAGAAGCACCGGCUAACUCCGUGCCAGUAGCCGCGGUAAUACGGAGGGUGCGAGCGUUAAUCGGAAUUACUGGGCGUAAAGCGCGCGUAGGUGGCUUGAUAAGCCGGUUGUGAAAGCCCCGGGCUCAACCUGGGAACGGCAUCCGGAACUGUUAAGCUAGAGUGCAGGAGAGGAAGGUAGAAUUCCCGGUGUAGCGGUGAAAUGCGUAGAGAUCGGGAGGAAUACCAGUGGCGAAGGCGGCCUUCUGGACUGAAACUGACACUGAGGUGCGAAAGCGUGGGUAGCAAACAGGAUUAGAUACCCGAGUAGUC